rnacentral:rRNA from 1 species
AUGUGGUUGUACCUGCUCGCGACCAAGGACGAGGCACAGCCAGCACUGAAACGGUUCCAGGCCAUGGCGGAGCUCGAGUCCGGCCGGCAGCUCAAGGCGCUGCGCACGGACCGCGGCGGGGAAUUCACCUCCUCCAGCCUCGGUGAGUACUACGCCGACCAGGGAGUCCAGCGCCAGCUCACGGCGCCCUACACGCCUCAGCAGAACAGCGUGGUCGAGCGCCGGAACCAGACCAUCGUGGGCAUGGCGCGCAGCCUGCUGAAGGCAAAGGGCGUGCCGGCACGGUUCUGGGGCGAGGCCGUAACGACGGCGGUCUACCUCCUGAACAGGUCAACAACGAAGAGUGUGGCGGGGUCGACCCCGCACGAGGCCUGGUGCGGGCGGCGUCCAAACGUCGAGCACCUGCGCGUGUUCGGGAGCGUCGCGCACGUCAAGGUGACACGCCCAAACCUGUCGAAACUUGAAGACAGGAGCACACCCAUGGUCUUCAUCGGUUACGAGCCGGGAUCGGCGGCUUAUCGCGUCUUCCACCCGCCGUCGAAUCGCGUCCUGGUCUCGAGGGAUGUCGUGUUCGACGAGCAGGCCGCGUGGGACUGGACCCAGGUCGCGGCGACGAGCGAGGAGUCACAGUGGGACACUUUCUCCGUCGAGCUCGAACCAGUGCCCAACAAGAUGGUCGGCAGCACCUCAUCCGGUGCAUCAUCUCCUGAGGCGCCACGCUCACCAACAACACCGUCAUCGUCGCGCAUCAGUGCGCCCCCGCCGCGGCCCACGACGCCGAUCUGCGCUACACCAAGCCCGGACCGCUCGAGCGUGGAGUUCGUGUCUCCACCACCGGGGGCGUCUGUGCCGCCACCCGACAAGGAGGCGCCGCGGCGGUACCGCACGCUGGAGAACCUGUGGGACACCACUGAAGAAGGGACAGGUGAUAAUAGUCAGUACAGUUACCUGUGCCUCUUCGCAGGGGAGGAGCCAACCUCCUUCAACGAGGCGCAAAAGGAGGGAGGAUGGAGGAACGCCAUGAACGAGGAGAUGCAGAGCAUCGUCGACAACAACACAUGGGAGCUGUGCGAGCUCCCGCCCGGGCACCGACCGAUAGGCCUCAAGUGGGUCUACAAGCUCAAGAAGGACGCACACGGCACGGUGGUGAAGCGCAAGGCGCGGCUGGUGGCAAAAGGAUACGUCCAAGUCCAAGGAGUGGAUUUCGAGGAUGUGUUCGCUCCGGUAGCGCGCAUGGACUCGGUGCGCGUACUGGUCGCGCUCGCCGCGCACCACGCGUGGCCAGUUCAUCACAUGGACGUCAAGUCCGCCUUCUUGAACGGGGACUUGUAG